rnacentral:rRNA from 2 species
UACGGAGGGGGCUAGCGUUGUUCGGAAUUACUGGGCGUAAAGCGCACGUAGGCGGAUUGAAAAGUUGGGGGUGAAAUCCCGGGGCUCAACCCCGGAACUGCCUCCAAAACUGUCAGUCUUGAGGUCGAGAGAGGUGAGUGGAAUUCCGAGUGUAGAGGUGAAAUUCGUAGAUAUUCGGAGGAACACCAGUGGCGAAGGCGGCUCACUGGCUCGAUACUGACGCUGAGGUGCGAAAGCGUGGGGAGCAAAC